rnacentral:rRNA from 1 species
UACGUAGGUGGCAAGCGUUGUCCGGAUUUAUUGGGUUUAAAGGGUGCGUAGGCGGCCUUGUAAGUCAGUGGUGAAAUAUGGCAGCUCAACUGUCAGGGUGCCAUUGAUACUGCAGAGCUUGAGUACAGAUGAGGUAGGCGGAAUUGACGGUGUAGCGGUGAAAUGCUUAGAUAUCGUCAAGAACACCGAUAGCGAAGGCAGCUUACUGGGCUGUAACUGACGCUGAGGCACGAAAGUGUGGGGAUCAAACAGG